GACGAACGCUGGCGGCGCGCUUAACACAUGCAAGUCGAGAGAAGCGGCGGACGGGUGAGUAACACGUGAGUAACCUGCCUUAGACAUUGGGAUAGCCUCGGGAAACCGGGAUUAAUACCAAAAGGUCUAAGAUGGACUCGCCUACCAUUAGCUAGUGGGUGAGGUAAAGGCCCACCAAGGCGACGAUGGUUAGCCGGCCGGAGAGGCGGAACGGCCACAGUGUAACUGAGAAACGGUCCAAACUCUACGGGAGGCAGAAGUGGGGAAUAGUGCACAAUGGAGGGAACACGGAUGCAGCGACGCCGCGUGAACGGAGAAGGCUUUCGAGUCGUAAAGUUCUUUUAUAUGGGAAGCGGUACCAUAAGAAAAAGCCCCGGCUAACUACGUGCCAGCAGCCGCGGUAAUAC
rnacentral:rRNA from 1 species